UACAGAUCGUGUGAAUCAUCGAAUCUUUGAACGCAAGUUGCACCCUUGAGGACUAUUUUAGGACUCUUGGGUAUGCUCCUUUGAGUAUCAUGACCCCUUAUUCUUACUCAUAUACGUAUAUAUAUAUACUUUAUGUAUUUUAUGUAUGUAUGUGGAUAUUGAGAUUCUGGAUUCUCACGAAUUCAGUGUCUUUAAAAAUAAUGAGGUGAAUGAAGUUUAUUCGUAUAAUACUAUAUAACUUUGUGAGCACACUUAUUCUUUAGAUAAAUAUCUCAUAUUUAUUGAAUAGAAUGACUUGUCUCAUUUUGGUUAUUGUUUUGCGAUUUCCCUAGUUUACCUGUCUUUGUUCUAUUUAUUUCGAACAAAGCAAAACACAUUAAAUGUGAUCUCAAAUGGAGUAGGAAGACCCGCUGAACUUAAGCAUAUCAAUAAGCGGAGG
rnacentral:rRNA from 1 species